rnacentral:rRNA from 1 species
UACGGAGGGUGCAAGCGUUAUCCGGAUUCACUGGGUUUAAAGGGAGCGCAGGCGGAUUGGUAAGUCAGUGGUGAAAUACCUGAGCUUAACUCGGGAACUGCCAUUGAUACUAUUAGUCUUGAAUAUUGUUGAGGUAUGCGGAAUGGGUCAUGUAGCGGUGAAAUGCAUAGAUAUGACCCGGAACACCAAUUGCGAAGGCAGCAUGCUAAACAAAGAUUGACGCUGAGGCUCGAAAGCGUGGGGAUCAAACAGG